GUAAUAUUGAAAAUUUAAAAAUUUAACAUAUAGUAAUUAUAGCAUAGUAAUAAAAUAUUAUUCUAUGUAUUUCCAUGGUAUAGUCUUAGAUGAAUUUAUUUUAAUGAUAGAUUUUUGGUCUCAUUUUAGCCAAGAGAUUGCCAAAGAAUGAGCAGUUAUCUGGAGGUGGAUCCAGCGGACAUGAAAGACGAGGAGUGGACUUGGGCCAGAACCAGCAGCAAUCAAAUGGUGGCUGUUGCAAAUGAUAUGGCUGCCAUUUGAAUUCCAUGCCUACAUGAACUAUAUCACAAUACUUAUAGGUCUGGGACCAUCACAAGGCCCUUUUUAUCAUGGCAUCCAUGGAAAUAUAACAGUUCUGAACUAUUUUUGUACUUUAGGCCAAUUGUCUGGUUCUAAGUUUAUUGUUCUCUGUUGCUUCCUAUUAUAUUUGAUGCUGGAAUUCCUAGUCCUAAUUAUUUUUAAAUAGCAGCUCUAAAGACGACAGAUUCCUAGGUGGCAGUCACUACCCUAUACUAUAGCUAUUUAAUGGUGUUCAUUGAUUUAUGUUAUAUUGUAAAUAAAAUUUGAUAUUAAAUGGAAAAUAAAGCUUCUUUUUUCAAAU
rnacentral:lncRNA from 1 species